CAGGAAUCUGUUCCAUCUGAGUCUGUUACUUGCUUAAAAGGCUGGGAUGCUCAGGCCAAUGUUUAUGCAACAAUCAGUUUAUCCUGGAAGGAAUACCAGCACAUAGCGUCACUCAAAGCUCGGCCUACGGAGGUUGCUUGAUUGAAAGUUUGUUUUGUCAAAGCAGGAUUCUGGUUUUAUUGGUUUUAUCUGCCUUUAAAGUUUUCCAGGCUAAAACUAUUUUGACCAUAUUCUUUAGAAGAGAACUUUUCAACUUUGCUCAUUUAUCUACCUCCGUCCUGGAGGAGAUUCAGAAUAAUUUUCUGAGAAGAAUCCAGCCUGUGCCAAAGGGUGUUCCUGUGCUUGGAGCAAAGGUGGAACGGGUCUGCAGUAUUAUGCCCAAGAUACUCACUUGCUGGUGAGAAGAUUUGGACUUCAAAGUGAAGUACCUGGAUCCGUCGGUCAAUUAUGCCCCCUAUAGUAGGAGGACUACAAGCCUCCUUUCCCCUCCACUUGAACCUGAGCGAGAUCGGUGGCUUCUUUGACAAAUAGAAUAUGGCAGAAGUGACACUUGCCAGUGUCCUGGCCAAGGGCUUAAGAAAAUGGCAGCUUCCAUUUCUUUUCUCUGAGAACUCUCUCUCUGAAAGCCCUGAGCCUCCAUGGAAGACUUAAGGCUACCCCCGAGACUUCCACGCUGGAGAGGCUUUGUGCAGGUGCUCUGGUUGCCACUGCCCACUCAGUUCAGCCUUCCAGGCACAUCUGCUAAAGUUCCUGAUGUGUAAGAUAAGCUGUUUGGACCUGAUGGCAUAGCUGAAUACCAACAGAUGACCUCAGUCAAUGCCAUGUGGAGCCAAAGAAUCACCAGUAGAAUCCUGCCUGAAGCUGUGACUCAGAGAAUCAUAAAACGUGCUGAGGAGAUAGCUGUAAACAGACCUUCCCCAUGGAGUUUACAUUCUAGUGGAGGAGCGAGACAAAGAAGCAAAAUAAAUGAGUGUAAUAUAUACUCUGCUGGAUGGUGAUAAGUAUGAUGGAAAACUUAAAUCAAGGAGGGAGAUAGGAUGGGAGAAAAUGGAGUAUUAUCAUUUAAAAUAUGCUAGUUAGGGCUAAGAUGACAUUUGAGUAAAAACAUGGAGGAGGUGCUAGACCAAGGUAAAUUUAAAUAAUUAUUUAAAUACACUAAAAACCUAAUCCAAUGAUUUUCUUUUAAG
rnacentral:lncRNA from 1 species